CAGUCGCCACGGUAAUACAGAGGAUGCAAGCGUUAUCCGGAAUGAUUGGGCGUAAAGCGUCUGUAGGUGGCUUUUCAAGUCCGCCGUCAAAUCCCAGGGCUCAACCCUGGACAGGCGGUGGAAACUACCAAGCUGGAGUACGGUAGGGGCAGAGGGAAUUUCCGGUGUAGCGGUGAAAUGCGUAGAUAUCGGAAGGAACACCUGUGGCGAAAGCGGCUCACUGGACCAUAACUGACGCUGAUGCACGAAAACUAGGGGAGCAAACAGGAUUAGAUACCCCGGUAGUCCCUGUCUCUUAUAC
rnacentral:rRNA from 1 species